rnacentral:lncRNA from 1 species
GUUGGUCACCCAGGGAAUGACAUCACUUCAUUUGCGCGCAUUCACGAGAGUGGUAGCUCUGUUCCAAAACGUUUUUCAAGACACAGGAACCGUCCGGUUGUAAUAUUACUGAAUCUUUACGUUCUAAAGGCCCUAAAGAUUGAUGUUUUACAACGUUUGACAUGUUUGAACGAACGUAAAUACAACUUUUUUAAACUUUUCGUCGUGACAUUGUCCGCGCGCUUCCUACAUUUGGAGUAGCUGAACUGAACGCGCAAACAACAAGGAGUUAUUUGGACAUAAAUUAUGGAGUUUAUCGAACAAAACAACAUUUAUUGUGGACCUGGGAUUCCUGGAAGUGUCUUCUGAUGAAGAUCAUCAAAGAAGUUGGUGUUGGUGCUCUAGACAGAAGGCAAGUAGUUAAAAGGUUGCAGAUGAUGAUAGAAUGGCUUGGAAAUCAUACAACAUUGAUGGCCAGCUGCUGUUGACCCCCAAGAGGUUAAUUUGAGUGAGAAAGAGUUGAAAAUGUUAUGCAAUGGCAGCUGCAGCUGCAGCUCCUCAAGCCAUGAUACUUCACGUUGUUGAUGCUGACCAUACAAGGAAGAUAAACCUCAGCUCCAGCAUCUGUUGAUGACUUGAUAAACAUUUUGAAGGCCAAGUUUGAGUUUGACUACAACUUCCGCUUGCAGUAUGAAGACCUUGACUUUGAUGGACAACUUACCUGCUUGAUUGAGAGUGCACCUUUUAGUGGAAGGAGGAGAUACAAGUUAUACAGCUGACACAGUAAUACUUUCAGAUGUGUCUUCCCCAAAGCGCCUCAGUAGGUGGCCGACAGACGUUUUUCCCAUGCCUACUUUUGCAUUAUAGAGUUGAAGCUUAGAGAAAGAAAUGCUGCCUUUAAAUGGGAUGGAACAUAUAUUCAGUUGUCUAGAGACCUAAAACAUGGCAUCUUAGAGAAAGUUGCUACUACUGUGUACAGUUUCAAGGCUUACCCAAAUGACAGAGAUAGGAAAGGCAGCUGAAGCUCUUGUUACGAAACCCCCGUCUGAAAGAGGCAGGAUCUAACACUGGGUGGAAUGGAUGGAAGAACAGCAUCAACUUCAAGAUGGGUAACUACAGAACCAAGUUGAGGAAAGCAGGAUGUCAGGAGGUCUCUGUAACGCAAGAAAAAUAAGCAGAAGGAAUCCAGAGAACGAACCAACGCAUUCAAAUAUAAAUAGAAUUAAGUGGGAUGAAGUUCAUUUUCUGCCAAACCAUUUCCUGCUGAGGCAGGAUAGGAUAGGAGUUCCCUGAUCUCUGAGUUGUAGGUGUAUGCAGAAUUCCAGUGAAUUACAAACCAGAACUUGCUAAACAUCUUCUAUGCUGAGAUUGACCAUCACACUCGGUUGAUGACCUUGUAUAGACAGAGGGCAUCGAAGACUGGAAGGACUGCUGACGCUUUGGUUGACAUUCUGAGGUGUCAUGAUCUACAGAAUGAGGUGAUCGAUGGUAUCAAAAGCAGCACUAAGGUCUAGGAGCACGAGGACAGAUGCAGAGACUCGGUCUGACGCCAUUAAAAGGU